rnacentral:rRNA from 1 species
GUGCCAGCAGCCGCGGUAAUACGUAGGUGGCAAGCGUUAUCCGGAAUUAUUGGGCGUAAAGCGCGCGUAGGCGGUUUUUUAAGUCUGAUGUGAAAGCCCACGGCUCAACCGUGGAGGGUCAUUGGAAACUGGAAAACUUGAGUGCAGAAGAGGAAAGUGGAAUUCCAUGUGUAGCGGUGAAAUGCGCAGAGAUAUGGAGGAACACCAGUGGCGAAGGCGACUUUCUGGUCUGUAACUGACGCUGAUGUGCGAAAGCGUGGGGAUCAAACAGGAU